UCCUAUCUCCCCUCACUCUCAUUCUCUCUCUUCUCUUUUCUUCGAGAAGCUCUCCUCUCUCUUCUGUGCUCCCACACUUGAAUCUUCAUUCUUCCCUUGUCCUUGAACUCACCCAAACUAUCAAUCCCCAUCAUCCAAUGAAUUGUCCGUGAAGGGGAUCAAGGGGGGUCUCAAUCCUUUACCGUCGGCUUGCAUCGGCGACAUGGUGAUGGCCACCGUGAAGAAGGAAAAGGCGGAUCUGAGGAAGAAGGAUGGCCGCCACGAUGCACGCCAAGUUAAACUGGAUCGGAAGAAGCUCAACUAGAUCGACCUCAUCAGAAUCUAGUUUCAGUGACCCAGUUUUUUAUGGGUUUAUGCCUAUCAACUCUAAUCAAGAUCCCCAAUUUCAUCAAUGUGAAAUUGGAAUUCGUAGUGGUUGCUAAAGGCCUAGCUUGUGGAACUUCUCAUAUGAUCAGUGCUAAGAUUGAAGGCCUUGCUCGGUUGGCUGAUGAGUUUUCUGACCUUGUUUUCAACUGCUAGCAAUUUGCUACGAUUAAAGUUCGUUCCAUUUAUAAUUUCUUUUAGAUCUGAACAAUUGUUUAUUGGGUCAAAGUAAACAUUGAGUUUUCAAGUCAAAACCAAUCUCCAUGGCGCUGCUCUGAGUUAAAUCGUUCUCUGGUUUUAUGUAUGCAAGGAUGGCUAUCGCGAUGCACGCCAAGUUAAACGGGAAGAACCUAAACCAGAUCGACCUCAUCAGAAUCUGGAUCUGGUUUCAGUGUUUCAAUAAAGUAUGGAUCUACGCCUAUCACCUCUAAUCCAAGAUCUCAAAUUUCAUCACUUGAGUAGAGGCUGAAACCAUGGCAGUGACUGAAUCCAAGCCGAUCAUCGUUGAACCCAUUCAUCCCCAGAAAUAUGAAAUAAAAUGAAUAAGAUCAGGAUAUUAGCCAUCCAUCCCCAGGAAUACUCGAUAUUGGACCAGAAAUAAUUAAUAAAAAAAAUGAUAAUAAUGAAUCUUACCCACCAUUUCUGUUGGUGGUCCCAAUAUGUCAGAGCUUCUUCAGAGAAGCCACACACCAAGUAAAUCGAGACUAUUAAGGGGAAAGCAACCCCUCUACAGAGCACUGACCCUAUUAAAAGUGGCUGUAAUGUGGCUAUGGCUGCUAGACACACACAUGUGUGCCCUUUAAGGUCUUUUUGUCAAGCAAGCUGUGUGUGGCCUUUCCCCAUAAUUAUAGUAGUGAUAUUCCAGGUGGUUGACGUGGCAGCCUCCCCCGACCACCCUAUUGUUGUUGGCGUAUGGGACACCACUAUCUGGAGGAAUAGCCAUGAAGAUGAAGAAUGUAGACCUAAUUUCGUUCCGGCAGCGGAAUUGUCCAUCCAGGGUUUGCAGCAAGUGAGACUUGAUAGCUUGGAAUCUGAAGCAACAAAAUCAUCAUGUACAAUUUGUUUGGAGGAUUUUGCAGGGUAUUGAUCAACUGGUGGUUACUAGAUUACCCUGCUCACACUAUUAUCAUGGAGAUUGCAUUGUCAAGUGGCUGGAGAUUAGUCCUCUAUGUCCCAUAUGCCAAUACCCGAUGCCAAUAGAGGAAGUGGGGGAGCCAUCAUCAAAUCCCUUACCCCAAUCAAGGCAAUAGCGUAUAUAUAUGCUGCAAAUCGCAUCGAACCAAACCCCUGCUUGCUUAUUGCUUGCCAAGAGGUGCUUCCUGAAACUGGUGCUUUUUACUUGUCUUCUUAAUUAAUAAUUAGCUGCUAGUCGUCUGCAAUAUAAUUCUUUGGAUAGCAACGAAGGUACAUUGGAGAAAAAAAAUCAGUGGUGGAUGGUUUGAAUAAUUGGAACAUGUAUGACAUGAUCAACCAGUCCUACGGUCCUACCUUUCUUUUCAAAGUUUUUUUUUUCUUUUCUCUUUUUUGUGUGUCAUGUACUUACGUUAGUGGACUCGGCCUCGUCCUAACUC